rnacentral:lncRNA from 1 species
UUUUGUCAAACUUUGUUUGACCUUGUUGAACUUGGGAUAAUUCACUUGGACUUUUCAAAGUUGAUUUGAAGUGAGUUUGAAGUUUGACCUCUUUAUUAUUUUAAUUCAAGUUUUAUUUUAAUAUUAAAAAAUGCCAAAAAUAUUUUAUUUGUUUAUUGACUUCCAAUCUUCAUUUUGCUUAUGUUUUCUAUUGUUUGACCUUGAUCUUCUUUAUCUUUGGUCAAUGCUUGUUGAUGAUCUUAUUCCAUUUCUAUUAAUGCAC